UACGUAGGAUGCAAGCGUUUGUCCGGAAUUAUUGGGCGUAAAGAGCGCGCAGGCGGUAACUCAAGUCAGAUGUGAAAUAUCCGGGCUUAACCCGGAGGGGUCAUUUGAAACUGAGUAACUAGAGUACAGCAGAGGAUAGCGGAAUUCCCGGUGUAGUGGUGAAAUGCGUAGAUAUCGGGAGGAACACCAGUGGCGAAGGCGGCUAUCUGGGCUGAAACUGACGCUGAGGCGCGAAGGCUAGGGGAGCAAACAGGG
rnacentral:rRNA from 1 species